UCCGGUUUGGCACCGGCAGUCCCUCUAGAGUCCCCGGCAUGACCCGCUGGUAACUAGAGGCGAGGGUUGCGCUCGUUGCGGGACUUAACCCAACAUCUCACGACACGAGCUGACGACAGCCAUGCAGCACCUGUGACCGGGUCCCGAAGGAGGGCCGGUGUUUCCACCGGCUUUCCCGGCCAUGUCAAGCCCAGGUAAGGUUCUUCGCGUUGCGUCGAAUUAAACCACAUGCUCCACCGCUUGUGCGGGCCCCCGUCAAUUCCUUUGAGUUUCAGCCUUGCGGCCGUACUCCCCAGGCGGGGCACUUAAUGCGUUAGCGCCGACACUCAGGGGGUCGCUCCCCCAAGCAUCUAGUGCCCAUCGUUUACGGCGUGGACUAC
rnacentral:misc_RNA from 1 species